rnacentral:misc_RNA from 1 species
AACGCACAUUGCGCCUCUUGGUAUUCCAGGAGGCACGCCUGUUCGAGCGCCAUUACAAACUCCAAGCUUGGCUUGAUGAUGGAGGAUGUGAGAGAUUCACACCUCUGGAACGCGUUGGCGCCGCCGGCGAACCACGAGCGUAGCAAGACGAAAGUCAUCGCAUCGUUGGUGACGUCGGACGGUCAGCCUUGUUCUCCUGUUAUUCGACAAGUUAUAACAGUCGACAUACACUUUCACAAGUUUGGCCUCGGAUCAGGCGGGGAUACCCGCUGAACUUAA